CAUUUCGAUCUGUUAGACACAAAUCACUGAGAGGAUUGAAAGACUCAAUCCACAAACACGAAAGAUUUACUGAAAACAAACAAGCGAACAUCAAACGUAGUAGUUGCUACAGUCCUUUGGGCGUAUCAGCAGAUCUUAUUGCUUAGUACGGAGCAAGUUUGAAGUGUGAUCGCGUGUUGAGUUUAUACCUCUUUUAACGAAAUAUUUUGCUGUACAUUCCUGGGAACUCAGACGUCGUUGUGAAAGCUGUGAAAGCUGUUAAAGUCAUUACAUAUAAGGAGAAUAUCCCAGCUUGGAAGCCAUGCAAAGACACAUUCCAGGUGGAUGGUUUUUUGCAGUAUUUGAACUGAAUGUUGCCAAUUAAAGGAAGAAGAAAUAUCCCUUUACAGUCAUCACCUUUGUCUAAGUUACCAAAGGAUUUAAAUUCUGUGAAAUAUAUGAUAAAUGAUGAAUUCUCGGUCAUUGGUCAAAAGAUGUUUGCUUGGAUUAAUAGACGAUGUAAGCAUGCAAGCGACUGGUCUAGCAACCCUGCCUUUUGGGGGAAUAUCAGUAAUACUAUGUGGUGAUAUUGCUCAACUGCCUCCUAUCUCUGACCAAGUUUUGUACCACAAUAAACCAAAGAAUGAUUUAGCUGUUGAUGGUUACUGCAUGUAUCAGAAAUUCCAAACAGUUGUUAAAUUACAAACAAAUGAAAGGACAAAAGGAAGCAACAGAGAACAAGAAAACUUUACAUGUAGGCAACUCCAAAUGCGAGCCAGAAAUGGUGAUUCAUCUAUAGAGGACUGGAAACUUCUUUUAACAAGAAACCUGGAUAAAACUGAGAACCUUCAACAUUUUGAGGAUUGUGCAAUAAAACUUUCUUUUGGGAAUGAAAAAGUUGCUAAAGAUAACCACAUUAUAAAUUGUGUAAUUAUAACUUAGGUCACCCAAUUAUACAGAUUAAUGCCCAGCAUACCAGCAACAAAGCCAAAACUUUGAGUGCUGAAGAUAUGGGAGGACUAGGGCCUGUAUUGUAUUUAGCAACAAAUUCAAGGGUAAUGCUGACACGUAACCUCUGGACUGAAGUGGGUCUCUGUAAUAUGGUGAGUUAGGAACAAUUCGUCAUGUUAUUUAUGCUGAAGGGCAUAGCCCACCUGUGUUACCCAUUGCAAUAAUUGUUCAAUUUGAUAAAAAGGACUAUUCUGGGCCAAGUUUUUGUGAAAGCAUUGCCAAUUGUAUUCCUAUCUAUCCAGUUACAAAUUGCUCUGAUAUUUAUGGAGAAAAGCUUGAAUGAAAGCAAUUUCCACUCAAGCUUGCUUGGUCAAUUACCAUUCACAAAGCCCAGGGUCUAACACUGAAUGAUGUUUGGGUUGAUUUAGGACACUCAGAAAAGGCUGCAGGCCUCACCUAUGAAGCUUUAACCAGAGUACGUACUAUCCCCAAUCUUGUUAUUGAACCUAUGUCAUAUGAAAGAUUGGGGUCCCUUAAGAAAACUUCCAAUUAUAAAUACAGAAUCUUAGAAGAGGCAAGAUUAACCAAUUUAAAUGAAGUUACUGUUUCAAAGUUUCAAAAUGACAUAGCCCAUCAUUACAAUUGAUUAUAUCUUUGUUCUUAUAGAUAAUUAUAAUGUCUAAGUUCACCCCACCGCCAUCAAAGAGGGUUAAAUAUGGAAUGCCCUCAUCUCCAGCAUCUCCCUCUUCAACUUCAAUAGCAAUUAAGUUACUCCCUUUAUAUUAUUCUUUUGUACCAUCAAUAAAUUAUGUUAGAUAUAGCCAA